UGCAUCAGCCGGGAAUCGGACCCGGGCCGCCCACGUGGCAGGCGAGCAUUCUACCACUGAACCACCGAUGC
rnacentral:tRNA from 1 species